rnacentral:rRNA from 1 species
UACGUAGGGGGCUAGCGUUGUCCGGAUUUAUUGGGCGUAAAGAGCGUGUAGGCGGCCAUGUAGGUCCGGUGUGAAAACUCGAGGCUUAACCUCGAGAUGUCAUCGGAAACCAUUUGGCUUGAGUGCAGGAGAGGAACGCGGAAUUCCAGGUGUAGCGGUGAAAUGCGCAGAUAUCAGGAGGAACACCGGUGGCGAAGGCGGAUCUCUGGGCCUGUCCUGACGCUCAGGCGCGAAAGCUAGGGGAGCAAACAGG